rnacentral:rRNA from 1 species
UUUGAUGGCGACCGGCGCACGGGUGAGUAACACGUAUCCAACCUGCCGAUAACUCCGGAAUAGCCUUUCGAAAGAAAGAUUAAUACCGGAUGGCAUACGAAUAUCGCAUGAUAUUUUUAUUAAAGAAUUUCGGUUAUCGAUGGGGAUGCGUUCCAUUAGUUUGUUGGCGGGGUAACGGCCCACCAAGACUACGAUGGAUAGGGGUUCUGAGAGGAAGGUCCCCCACAUUGGAACUGAGACACGGUCCAA